UACGUAGGGUGCGAGCGUUGUCCGGAAUUACUGGGCGUAAAGAGCUCGUAGGUGGUUUGUCGCGUUGUCCGUGAAAACUCACAACUCAAUUGUGGGCGUGCGGGCGAUACGGGCAGACUGGAGUACUGCAGGGGACACUGGAAUUCCUGGUGUAGCGGUGGAAUGCGCAGAUAUCAGGAGGAACACCGGUGGCGAAGGCGGGUCUCUGGGCAGUAACUGACGCUGAGGAGCGAAAGCGUGGGGAGCGAACAGG
rnacentral:rRNA from 1 species